UAACUUAAAAAUCUAAAACUAUCUUUCUUGUCAUGUAUGCAACUAGAACUAUCAAUUUCCAAAUAAAAGAAUUUUUGAUUUUUGCAUUGCAGUUACCCUAUAAACAUUGGUAACAGAGCCAUGAAGACUUAGAAAGGAAAUCAGUUGAGGGGAGAAGAUUAACAGUGUUUGACGUAUUUAACAUCAUUGGCAGAUUCUUUAUUAUGGCAUCAGUAUUAUGCUGUCGUUUGCCACAGACUGUUAGUAUGUGUCAAUCAGCAUGCUUGCAUGUCACCAGUAAUUUCAAGUACACUUUGGGGAGGAUGGAGGGUUGGCAAUUAGUACAUUUUGUGCUUGUGAAAUUGAUUUUUGUGUUUGUCUAGAAGGUCAAAAAUGAUGUUGCCACUGCUGUAGAGAAACCCAAACAAACUUUAUUGGUCAAACAGUUAGUUCCUCCAGAUUCACCAGCAGUUCCAAGUACUACUGCGCAGGUAACCAAAUUGAACCAACCUAGAACAUUGCCGUCACCAGGAGCUCUCUCUUUAAACAAUGUAAAGUUAAGUCAGUUGCCUGUUUCUGUUCCAGUCUCUACACCAAAGCCAAACAAGGUAGCGGUGCAGAGGAACCUUGAAAUUCAGAAACAAAAGCAAGCUUUGGUGGCAAAACAGAUAGAACAGCAAAAGUUGCUUAUUUCUAAACUGGAGAAUGGUCAGUUGUCUGGUGAUGAGAGAGUAAAUGUGAUGAAGACUCUUAAGUCAUUGUCAGCUGGAAUUGCAGCUCUGCAACAGUCUGCAACUAGUGGUACUUCAGCAGUGAAACGUGCAGCAGCAAUAUCAGAACCUCCCAACAAGAAAGUAGCUGUUGAGCAGCAAUGGUGAUGGAAUCAAAGUAAGAUUAGAGACAAGAGUGAAGGUUUUAGGUAGCUAACAGAAACUGUGCACCAGUAUAUAAUGUAGCUUGGAUAAGGAAACACUGAAGUGGCAUUUUCGAGGAAGAGAUUGAGCGUUUACAAGUUUGAGACAUUGCUGACUAUGACAGUGUGUUCUAGAGUAUUUUUGUUACAGUUCCUGUAGUACACAUGUAAUGCUUUGUCUACUUUGUAACUACUCUCUUUAUGGUUAUCAUCACAUGUGAGUAAGACUUG